UCUCAUAAUUACAAUUUUGCCCCUAGGCUCGUAAUAUGAUUUUUAUUCAAUUUCCAUAACAUUCAAGGUCAGCCAAACCUUUUUCUCUUCUAAAGCAACCUCAAAUUCUUAUUAUUUACAACUUUUAGGAGCAUUUACAACUUUUACUAAUUAACCCGUUUUAACCAUUUUCAACGAAAAUCACUUAGCAAAAAUCGUUCUCCUAACCUCGUGCACCCUUAUUCUAUCAUUAAACAUCAAAAUGCACAAAUAUCU
rnacentral:lncRNA from 1 species